AACGUAGGAGACAAACGUUAUCCGGAGUUACUGGGCGUAAAGGGCGUGUAGGUGGUAAUGUAAGUCUGGCGUGAAAUUUUUCGGCUUAACCGGGAAAGGUCGUCGGAUACUGCAUGACUAGAGGACGGUAGAGGCGUGUGGAAUUCCUGGUGUAGCGGUGAAAUGCGUAGAUAUCAGGAGGAACACCUGCGGUGUAGACGGCUUUCUGGACCAUUGUUGACGCUGAGACACGAAAGCGUGGGUAGCAAACAGG
rnacentral:rRNA from 1 species